rnacentral:lncRNA from 1 species
AGGUGGAGCAGGACAAAGUCCAGCCCGGGCACCUUGGGCUCACGUGGGCGAGGGAGGCAGCGAGCGCAGCGGGCUGGCAGCGUGCCCGCCCUGCCACCGCCACCACCUGCGGCUGCUCUGGGGAGGGACAAGGUCCCCGCGCGCCUUGGGGACACGGGGCCGAGGCCGAGCCCAGGGGCUGCAGACGUGACCCGGAGCCGUGCAAAGAGCCCAGCCCAGGGGCACCGUGCCCGUUUGCUCAGAGCAGCAGGGCCACGCAGGGGCUCACCCGAGCUGCAUCCAUCGCACGGCGCUGCCGUCCCCUCGGGGCGCACCCUGAGCCCCCCGUGGCGAUGCACGGCCCUGGGCAGGGCAGGGCGAAGACCCCGCUGCGGGCACGAUGCACGACCCCAAACCCACCCCGGAAAACACUGUUGGCAGCCGGGGCAGCAGGGCAAGGGCUGCGCGGGGCUUUUCCUGCUCGCCCCGUGCUGGCUCCCCCUUCAAAGCCUCUGCUUCAAAGCAGCCCCGGGCGCACGCGAGCCGGACGUGCGCAGUGCCGGGAGCAGCCGAGGGCUCCCCGGGGAUCGCGCCCCGCACGCCAGGCACUCGGGGGGGGACAUCCCUGAACCCCAUCCCAGCAGAGCCCCCAUGGACCAGGGCUGCUCUGGGGGUCUGGGGGCAGCAGGAGAGGGGCUGCUGCAACUGGGACUGGGGGGGGGGCUGACCCCACGGUGCAGCCCCCACACCAGGAUGAGUCAGGGAUGGGUUUUUUGGUGAGAGGCAGCCAGGAAAAGCCGAGAGCCCGGCUUCCUUCUAGGCAGGGCGGCGUGGGAGGGGGCCUUGCCCGCCCGGUGACACCGGCAGCCCGGGGGACACGGCCACGGGGCUGGGGCGAAGGCUUUGCUGCCCCCCGGGGGGGCUGCAGGUUCGUGGGGAGGGGGCUUGCACCCAUACUUUGUCCUGGAUGGUCCCAGGGCUAUCCAAGCACGAUGCCCAAUUGGGGACACGCCGUUUGGGACACACCAACUGGGGACACGCCGUUUGGGGGCACGCUUCCAGCAAGGCAGCGUGGGUCCCUCUGCAGUGGCAUCAGGCCUGCAGCUGGUGGAGCAGUGGCUCGGGGCCG